ensembl:misc_RNA Metazoa_SRP Metazoan signal recognition particle RNA
GCUGGGCAUGGUGGUGCAUGCCUGUAGUCUCAGCUACUUGUGAAGCCGAGGUGGGAGGAUCACUUGAGCCCAAGAGUUUGAGGCUGCAGUGAGCCGUGAUCAUGCCACUGCACCCCAGCCUGGGCGACAGAGUGAGACCCUGCCUCAA